AUUCAUUAACUGUUUAACCCCAGAAGGUAAGCCAGCACCAACAUGCCUCCUACCUAUCCCGAUUUCUGUGUACAGUCCUAAUUAUCUGGUGAUGUCCUGCCAUCUCAACUUUGUUCACUGGUAUCAGGCUGUUGGAGACACCAGGAAACUGCCCACAAGAAGUGUAUCACAAGCGUAACAUUGGACAUUUUUGUGCUACCCUCAGGGUAUUAGUUUUAG